rnacentral:rRNA from 1 species
CCUACGGGAGGCAGCAGUGGGGAAUCUUAGACAAUGGGCGCAAGCCUGAUCUAGCCAUGCCGCGUGAGUGAUGAAGGUCUUAGGAUCGUAAAGCUCUUUCGCUAGGGAUGAUGAUGACAGUACCUAGUAAAGAAGCCCCGGCUAACUCCGUGCCAGCAGCCGCGGUAAUACGGAGGGGGCUAGCGUUGUUCGGAAUUACUGGGCGUAAAGCGUACGUAGGCGGAUCAGAAAGUAUGGGGUGAAAUCCCGGGGCUUAACCCUGGAACUGCCUCAUAAACUCCUGGUCUUGAGUUCGAGAGAGGUGAGUGGAAUUCCAAGUGUAGAGGUGAAAUUCGUAGAUAUUUGGAGGAACACCAGUGGCGAAGGCGGCUCACUGGCUCGAUACUGACGCUGAGGUACGAAAGUGUGGGGAGCAAACAGGAUUAGAUACCCUGGUAGUCCACACCGUAAACGAUGAAUGCCAGUCGUCGGGCAGUAUACUGUUCGGUGACACACCUAACGGAUUAAGCAUUCCGCCUGGGGAGUACGGUCGCAAGAUUAAAACUCAAAGGAAUUGACGG